rnacentral:lncRNA from 1 species
UUUGCCUGUGCCUUUCGUAGUUCGCAGUUUAUAUACGAAGAGGUAGAUUCCAAAAUGUCACUUUGCACGGUCCAAACGAACUGGUGGAAUUCAAAGUUCUAAUCCUAAAUGUUCCCAAAAAGAAUGUCAAAUUGGAAAGUGGAUGAAAUUUUUUUUGAAGGAAACACUCACUUCAAGAGAAUGAUCAAAUUACUUUUGAGCCAGAUGAUGAGCAUAC